AGUAGCCUGCUGAAAUAGAAACAGACAGAUAACAAGUACAACUAAUGGUACAUAUUACUGUCAUGCAUAUUUUUGUUUAUAAACAAGUUGGUCCUGGAUUCAUUCGAUUCUUGUAAGUUUCUGAGCUUUUAGUUUCGGGGAUGACACACGUACCUGAACACAUGCAUGUAUGGGGGUAUUGAUUAUCAGUGUUUCUUUCCUUUUUGAAUUUUCAAGUUAUUUUCCAUUGACCUGAAUAUGCAGGAGUUUUGGUUUUUUUUGUUUUUCUCGAUAAAAUGCAGGAGUUUAUUUUGUUGUUAAUUGGUUUCAAUUUGUUUUUGAUUGAGCUGAAUAUGCAGGAGUUUUGUUGUUGGUAUUAUUGCUUCUGUCACGAACAGGAACAAAGAAACAAAAGCUAGCUUUCUGUUUAGAGGGAUAAGAUCGAGCAUAUCUGCACAUGGAUGCUAGCUAGGUUAAUACAGGUCACCAGAUUUUUUGUGCUUGCAGAUAUCUCUGUUUUAGUGCAACUGGGCUCUUGCGGCACGAAAUUUCGGGUGAGAUAUAGGAAUUAAUGGUCACUCUGCUGCCUGCCUGCCUGCCUCUGCAUUUAGUUCAAGUAUAGGAUGGAAUUAUUAUUAUUUUAUCACUAAUUUGACCUCAUUGUCACCGAAAGUUUUUCUUUCGAUGAACACCAAGGACAAAUGUGAUAAUUAAAUAAAUUAUAAUACGCUAUUUUCUUUUCAUAAAGCAAAUCACUUAAUUUUCAUUUAUAGUGUAUGAUAAAACUCAUGACAAAACUGCCA
rnacentral:lncRNA from 1 species